AAAAAAUACACGCACCUUUGACAUGGAUCUCACCUGAUCCAGAAACCCAUGCUCAUUUAUCGAAUUAAAUUGUUACAGAGCACAUCGGGAACUUAAGCCUUUCAAAUGAAUCCAUUUUCACGUACUCGAGUCAUAUAACAGAACAAAUUCCAGCUAAACCGCAUUGUUAAAGGAAAGGCUGGCGCCCGGUACUCAAAAGCUCAUUCGCACAGUCCGGGGUCCUGGCGGAGCGGUGCAAAAGUGAUACAGAGCAACGCUGUUGUUAGGUGGCAAGGCGGAAGAAAGGAAGCAAGUUCUAGAAACAGCACAAAACCCUUGUCUUUGCCAGUGCUUUGCAGAGGAUCGACAUAAAGCCGGCUUCACUUGAGGGUAAUGUCAGCACCCGUUUGUUCGACCCUAGAACAUUCCUCCAAAGGGUUUCACAUUUCAGCACCUGUUCUGACUCUGCAGCCAAAAGGGGGGAAGAAAAC
rnacentral:lncRNA from 1 species